rnacentral:rRNA from 1 species
AGUCGAACGGUAACAUGGAUUGCUUGCAAUCUGAUGACGAGUGGCGCACGGGUGCGUAACGCGUAUGCAAUCUACCUUUUACAGGAGAAUAGCCCAGAGAAAUUUGGAAUAAUGCUCCAUAAUAUCAUUUAUCAGCAUUGGUUUAUGAUUAAAGCUCCGGCGGUAAAAGAUGAGCAUGCGUUCUAUUAGCUAGUAGGUGAGGUAACGGCUCACCUAGGCUACGAUAGAUAGGGGCCCUGAGAGGGGGAUCCCCCACACUGGUACUGAGACACGGACCAGACUCCUACGGGAGGCAGCAGUGAGGAAUAUUGGACAAUGGAGGAAACUCUGAUCCAGCCAUGCCGCGUGCAGGAUGACUGCCCUAUGGGUUGUAAACUGCUUUUAUAUAGGAAGAAACACUCCCACGUGUGGGGGCUUGACGGUACUAUAUGAAUAAGGAUCGGCUAACUCCGUGCCAGCAGCCGCGGUAAUACGGAGGAUCCAAGCGUUAUCCGGAAUCACUGGGUUUAAAGGGUCCGCAGGCGGCCUGUUAAGUCAGAGGUGAAAUCCUACAGCUCAACUGUAGAACUGCCUUUGAUACUGAUAGGCUUGAGUUAUUGUGAAGUGGUUAGAAUGUGUGGUGUAGCGGUGAAAUGCUUAGAUAUCACACAGAAUACCCAUUGCGAAGGCAGAUCACUAACAAUAUACUGACGCUCAUGGACGAAAGCGUGGGGAGCGAACGGGAUUAGAUACCCCGGUAGUCCACGCCGUAAACGAUGGAUACUAACUGUUCGACCUUCGGGGUGAGUGGUCAAGCGAAAGUGAUAAGUAUCCC